rnacentral:lncRNA from 1 species
GAAGGUCACACACAAGAAGGGGAAAUGAGGUAUUGCUCCCUGGAACAGUAGUGUGAUGUUCCUCAGGGGUGCCGGCUUUUUUACGAGAAUGUAAGCUCCCUAAGGUCAGCUGCUUUGCGCUCUUCUUGUCUCACCUUGGCCACCUGGCUCAGGACUGGGUACACCCGUGUCUAGAUCCCAGGAUAAGCUUCUGGCCACCACUAGAGAGAAAAUCUUGCCCACAGUCUGACUCAUGGACUCAGCCCACAACGUGGGAGAGGCCGUGGGGAUCUGACUCCCCGUUUCAUAGGGACAGCAAUGCCUUCCCUCUGUGUGGUUGCCUUGGCCAUCAGCAGAGACGUUCAGGGGGCACACAGAGCCCAGCCCAGGAUAUUCACCACCCCAGCAGGAGCAGGAGCAGGAGCUUCAGGUACCUUCAGGGAGGCAGCAACAACGCAAGCAUGGCUGAGCCGGCUGCAGCCUCACCUGUAGUUCCGUCGUUCAGGAACCCCCUUCCCAUCUCUGUGAGACCCUUCCUGGCUGCAGGGAACUUUUAGUCCUAACAGAUGCCUCUGAGGGGGACAGCCUGAUGGAUGAGACCACCCUCCCUCCCAACGUGCCUCUGAUUUUCCUCUGUGACCAGGAAGCAGAGG